UACCAGCACCCCGAGUGGUCGGGACGAUUAUUGGGCCUAAAGCAUCCGUAGCCGGUUUUACAAGUCCCCCGUUAAAUCCAACUGCUUAACAGAUGGGCCGCGGAGGAUACUAUAAGACUAGGAGGCAGGGAGGAAGGCAAGCGGUAGCUCAGUGGGAUAGGGGUAAAAUCCGUUGAUCCGAUUGAAGACCACCAGUGGCGAAGGC
rnacentral:rRNA from 1 species